AUUGAACGCUGGCGGCAUGCUUUACACAUGCAAGUCGAACGGCAGCGCAGGGCAACCUGGCGGCGAGUGGCGAACGGGUGAGUAAUACAUCGGAACGUACCCAGAAGUGGGGGAUAACGUAGCGAAAGUUACGCUAAUACCGCAUACGUUCUACGGAAGAAAGUGGGGGACCGCAAGGCCUCAUGCUUUUGGAGCGGCCGAUGUCUGAUUAGCUAGUUGGUGAGGUAAAGGCUCACCAAGGCGACGAUCAGUAGCCGGUCUGAGAGGACGACCAGCCACACUGGGACUGAGACACGGCCCAGACUCCUACGGGAGGCAGCAGUGGGGAAUUUUGGACAAUGGGCGCAAGCCUGAUCCAGCAAUGCCGCGUAGUGAAGAAGGCCUUCGGGUUGUAAAGCUCUUUUGUCAGGGAAGAAACAGCUGAGGUUAAUACCUUCGGCUAAUGACGGUACCUGAAGAAUAAGCACCGGCUAACUACGUGCCAGCCGCCGCCGUAA
rnacentral:rRNA from 1 species